CUUGAUCGACCCGAGCCAGAGCGGCCGGUCCCCGGGACGGUCCUGCCCGUAGGUGGCCAGCAACGCCUGCGCCUC
rnacentral:antisense_RNA from 1 species